UAAGUUAUUAAGGGCGCACGGUGGAUGCCUUGGCACUAGAAGCCGAUGAAGGACGUUACUAACGACGAUAUGCUUUGGGGAGCUGUAAGUAAGCUUUGAUCCAGAGAUUUCCGAAUGGGGAAACCCAGCAUGAGUUAUGUCAUGUUAUCGAUAUGUGAAUACAUAGCAUAUCAGAAGGCACACCCGGAGAACUGAAACAUCUUAGUACCCGGAGGAAGAGAAAGAAAAUUCGAUUCCCUUAGUAGCGGCGAGCGAAACGGGAAGAGCCCAAACCAACAAGCUUGCUUGUUGGGGUUGUAGGACACUCUAUACGGAGUUACAAAGGACGACAUUAGACGAAUCAUCUGGAAAGAUGAAUCAAAGAAGGUAAUAAUCCUGUAGUCGAAAAUGUUGUCUCUCUUGAGUGGAUCCUGAGUACGACGGAGCACGUGAAAUUCCGUCGGAAUCUGGGAGGACCAUCUCCUAAGGCUAAAUACUCUCUAGUGACCGAUAGUGAACCAGUACCGUGAGGGAAAGGUGAAAAGCACCCCGGAAGGGGAGUGAAAUAGAACCUGAAACCGUGUGCUUACAAGUAGUCAGAGCCCGUUAAUGGGUGAUGGCGUGCCUUUUGUAGAAUGAACCGGCGAGUUACGAUUUGAUGCAAGGUUAAGCAGUAAAUGUGGAGCCGUAGCGAAAGCGAGUCUGAAUAGGGCGUUUAGUAUUUGGUCGUAGACCCGAAACCAGGUGAUCUACCCUUGGUCAGGUUGAAGUUCAGGUAACACUGAAUGGAGGACCGAACCGACUUACGUUGAAAAGUGAGCGGAUGAACUGAGGGUAGCGGAGAAAUUCCAAUCGAACCUGGAGAUAGCUGGUUCUCUCCGAAAUAGCUUUAGGGCUAGCCUCAAGUGAUGAUUAUUGGAGGUAGAGCACUGUUUGGACGAGGGGCCCCUCUCGGGUUACCGAAUUCAGACAAACUCCGAAUGCCAAUUAAUUUAACUUGGGAGUCAGAACAUGGGUGAUAAGGUCCAUGUUCGAAAGGGAAACAGCCCAGACCACCAGCUAAGGUCCCAAAAUAUAUGUUAAGUGGAAAAGGAUGUGGCGUUGCCCAGACAACUAGGAUGUUGGCUUAGAAGCAGCCAUCAUUUAAAGAGUGCGUAAUAGCUCACUAGUCGAGUGACACUGCGCCGAAAAUGUACCGGGGCUAAACAUAUUACCGAAGCUGUGGAUUGUCCUUUGGACAAUGGUAGGAGAGCGUUCUAAGGGCGUUGAAGCAUGAUCGUAAGGACAUGUGGAGCGCUUAGAAGUGAGAAUGCCGGUGUGAGUAGCGAAAGACGGGUGAGAAUCCCGUCCACCGAUUGACUAAGGUUUCCAGAGGAAGGCUCGUCCGCUCUGGGUUAGUCGGGUCCUAAGCUGAGGCCGACAGGCGUAGGCGAUGGAUAACAGGUUGAUAUUCCUGUACCACCUAUAAUCGUUUUAAUCGAUGGGGGGACGCAGUAGGAUAGGCGAAGCGUGCGAUUGGAUUGCACGUCUAAGCAGUAAGGCUGAGUAUUAGGCAAAUCCGGUACUCGUUAAGGCUGAGCUGUGAUGGGGAGAAGACAUUGUGUCUUCGAGUCGUUGAUUUCACACUGCCGAGAAAAGCCUCUAGAUAGAAAAUAGGUGCCCGUACCGCAAACCGACACAGGUAGUCAAGAUGAGAAUUCUAAGGUGAGCGAGCGAACUCUCGUUAAGGAACUCGGCAAAAUGACCCCGUAACUUCGGGAGAAGGGGUGCUCUUUAGGGUUAACGCCCAGAAGAGCCGCAGUGAAUAGGCCCAAGCGACUGUUUAUCAAAAACACAGGUCUCUGCUAAACCGUAAGGUGAUGUAUAGGGGCUGACGCCUGCCCGGUGCUGGAAGGUUAAGAGGAGUGGUUAGCUUCUGCGAAGCUACGAAUCGAAGCCCCAGUAAACGGCGGCCGUAACUAUAACGGUCCUAAGGUAGCGAAAUUCCUUGUCGGGUAAGUUCCGACCCGCACGAAAGGCGUAACGAUUUGGGCACUGUCUCAACGAGAGACUCGGUGAAAUCAUAGUACCUGUGAAGAUGCAGGUUACCCGCGACAGGACGGAAAGACCCCGUGGAGCUUUACUGUAGCCUGAUAUUGAAAUUCGGCACAGCUUGUACAGGAUAGGUAGGAGCCUUUGAAACGUGAGCGCUAGCUUACGUGGAGGCGCUGGUGGGAUACUACCCUAGCUGUGUUGGCUUUCUAACCCGCACCACUUAUCGUGGUGGGAGACAGUGUCAGGCGGGCAGUUUGACUGGGGCGGUCGCCUCCUAAAAGGUAACGGAGGCGCUCAAAGGUUCCCUCAGAAUGGUUGGAAAUCAUUCAUAGAGUGUAAAGGCAUAAGGGAGCUUGACUGCGAGACCUACAAGUCGAGCAGGGUCGAAAGACGGACUUAGUGAUCCGGUGGUUCCGCAUGGAAGGGCCAUCGCUCAACGGAUAAAAGCUACCCCGGGGAUAACAGGCUUAUCUCCCCCAAGAGUUCACAUCGACGGGGAGGUUUGGCACCUCGAUGUCGGCUCAUCGCAUCCUGGGGCUGUAGUCGGUCCCAAGGGUUGGGCUGUUCGCCCAUUAAAGCGGUACGCGAGCUGGGUUCAGAACGUCGUGAGACAGUUCGGUCCCUAUCCGUCGUGGGCGUAGGAAAUUUGAGAGGAGCUGUCCUUAGUACGAGAGGACCGGGAUGGACAUACCUCUGGUGUACCAGUUGUCGUGCCAACGGCAUAGCUGGGUAGCUAUGUGUGGACGGGAUAAGUGCUGAAAGCAUCUAAGCAUGAAGCCCCCCUCAAGAUGAGAUUUCCCAACUUCGGUUAUAAGAUCCCUCAAAGAUGAUGAGGUUAAUAGGUUCGAGGUGGAAGCAUGGUGACAUGUGGAGCUGACGAAUACUAAUCGAUCGAAGACUUAAUCA
rnacentral:rRNA from 1 species